rnacentral:Y_RNA from 1 species
GGCUGGUCCAGAUGCAGUGGUGUUUACAGCUAAUUGAUCACAGCCAGUUACAGAUUUCUUUGUUCCUUCUCCACUCCCACUGCUUCACUUGACUAGUCUAAA